AUACUUUUGGAAAGCUGUUCAAUUUCUUGUUGACGGCUGAAGUUGGGAGUGUGAGCAAGCUCAUGUAAGGAUAUGAUAUGAAAUCUAGCUAUUAACUCAUGACAAUAAACAGAAUCCUGAGAAAACGAUGAUUGAACAGAAAAGUCUUGGCGUACUGCGCGUGUCCUAUCCCUUACAAAGGCAUGUGCUUCUCGCAACGAAUAUCUGUCUAAAAUCACCUUAAAUAAAUAGUCUAUGGUGUUUUUAAGGAUUGAAGGAGGACGCACAUCCGAUGGUAAUAUAGGGCCUUUACCAGCAGCUGGGCGAUGGUAUGCCUUUACGGCUAAACUUGGGUGAGCUUGUUUUGACACAGGAUCCAGCUCGUAUGGGUGAAUAGCAUGCUGUAAUUUACGUUCCUCUAAUUCAAACUCAGGGCACAUUUGCCUACAAGUGCCAACAAGAACAGAACUUUUUUCCCAAUUGGUAGAUUGCUUUGCCUGAAAAGACUCUUGCUCAUCCUUCCUUUUCUUUUUUAAGGCUUGAAAAUUUGCAUCUAAGGUCGUAGAAAAUCGAGCAGCUCGAGCUGCACGUUUAGUUGAAUCAGAGCGAUCCAAACUAGGCUUUGGCCGAUGUUUUUGUUUUUGCUUCUGCUUAACUUUAGUCGACAUCUAAACACCCUAAAAUUGAUUAUUAAUAUAACUUUCACUUAUUGAUUAAAACAAAUUCUUGAAAUGAGAAUUCUAGAAAUAGUUGAGAACACGGAUUUGCGGUUUAACGCCAUUGCCUCAACAUAGCAAAUCAAGACCAAAACGAUUAAUGUGUGUCUGAUUAGAAGAUGUUUCAAACUUAAAUUAUAAAUUUUAGAUAAAUAAUACAAGUUCUUUAAGAAAAAAAGAAAUUGCAGCGUAAAUUAUGGCGCACCUUACAGUUCAACUCCAUCACAAUGUUAAUAUUCCUAUAUCGACACCAUUCGAUAGGAAGCUCGGUUUAUUAUCCGACCAGAAAUUGAGCACUCCAUUGAUGCAUUUGCAUAUAUCGAAAGGCAAAUUUAUUUAAAGAAGAAACGAUGCGUCUAACAGGAAAUGUAUCUUUAUGCCCAAUUUAUUUCAAUUCUCAUCUCAUGUAUUUUUCUAUAUAAUAACUUGAGGGUUUUAAAGACUUACAGAAGAAAUAGAAGUAGCCACAAAGCAAAUUCACUUUUUUAGAUAAACUGGUUAAGAGAGAUGUGAGUAUACUCGAAUUGGGGAUUGUGGCAUUGGACAAAAAAUAUGUUAAAACGCUAGCCCAUAUCAAAUUUAUAUUUCUAUAUAUAUAUAUAUCUGAACAAAAAACAAAAUACAAACAAAAAAUUGCAAGAGCAAGAGUAAAUUGCUAUAAUCGUCACAAAAACAAAUCAUACAAA